UAGAUAUCGUGUUUGGGACAAACGCCUUUCGAUUCUCCAUAAUGCUUGAAACCCCUGUCAAGUUUCUUAUUGUUCCCUUGAUGUCCCUCAUUAACCUUCUAAGAAGAGCAUCACUUCUUAGAAUAUGAUGAACUGAGCUAAAAUAAAAUUCAAGGUUCAAGUGUUUCUAUUUGGUUACAAAAAAAAUGUUAAAGUAGUUUUGGCUAGUCUGUCAUAUAUGAAUGUAGACCACCUUAACAUUAUUAGUAGUCAAACUGUUGUUUUUAAAGAUUAUCAAGCAAGGUAAACUGGUGCCGCUUCUAUGACAGGUUUGGUUGGUCUAUGUAACGAUCUAGGCUUACUUUGGGACUUCAAUUCAAUUAAUUGUAUCGAUGACCUUUUGCAUUAUUGGACAAUUUUUUGCCCGUCUGUGAAACAAGCUGGGAUGAGGAGCUCAAGAAUUUGCUAAUUAGUUUGCAUCCCGUUUGAUCCUAUUGUUGUCAUGGAAUUGCUUUAUGGCAUGACUGAUUUGGGCAUGGCUAACUGUGCUGAGGAACUUCAAAUUCCAUACUUGAGGCUGAUCAAAAUAAAGAAAAGGGAUUUUGCAAAGGAAGCUACCGCAACAACUGAGGACCAUCUUGCGUGCCAACCUUGAAGAUGCUCUGGGGCUGAGUGGAGUGUUCCAAGGAAGUUUUGAUGCUUCUGAAUAUUCAAACACUUGAUCGAUCUGACAUCACAUCCCUGAAUGAUUGUAAAUAGUUGUCCGAUGCGGUUACAUUCUAAUGGUAUCACUCCCGAAUUGAUAAGGCUUUGUAGAGGGAGACUAAAGCUGCAUUUGAUGAAACUUGGAGAAAGUCCCCAGACACCAUGGGUUGGAGAUAUGAGCAAGAAUGAGCUAUGUCAGUAUAGAAAGGCAUUCUGGAGUUUUUUGCUAUUGGCGUUUGUCAUUGGCUCUGUGUUGUUAUUACUCUUCAAAGGAUUCUUCAUAUAAGUCGACCUCUUCUCAUGUGGUGUAUUAGUCCUUUGCAAGCUUUGAAAUUGUGCUACUCUUUAGCAAAGGCUGCAUCACAAAUCGCUUGGAGGUAGCAACGGCUGCAUCACAAAUCACUUGGAGGAAGACCGCAUGUGUAGAUGGUUCUAUAUGUGGAGUCAAGCUUAAAAUGAGAGUUGCUGACAAGAUUACCAUUUAGAUGUCCACUUUAAGCUACAAUUUUGUGACUGGGAGAGACUUUUUUCGUGGAAAAAGCAAAUGCCAAGAGAUCAGCAAAUAAUCAGUAAAUUGCAGCCAAGAGUUUCAAUGAACAGCUGUCCAAGAAGACAGGAGUUUCCCAUUUGGAAGAAUUUUGAACACAAAAGAAUGGCAUUCAUUAGUGUAAAAUCAUCUCUCUGGUCUAGUUAUGUCAGAAUAUUCAUAUGUAGGCAUUUUGCAAUCACUUUGGUGGUAUAAUCUCAAACUUGAUUUGUUUAAGCAUGAAUCUAAAAGCAGAAGAGACACAGCCAUGUACAUUUUCAUACCUAAAAUCAAGUAGAGAGACUAGUUCGUUCUUGAAGAGCAGCAUUACUUUCUCCUUCGAGAUUCUCUUAGGUGGACGCAUGGAGCUCAUGUCGCUCGGAGUCGCACCUCCACGGUUGUUUUUAGCGUUUCCACCUCUAAAACCAGAGGAGGAGGGGAAAGCGAAGAAGAUAAGAUCAAAACGGGAUGGGAGAAUGUGUCUCAGUGUUUGGUUGGUUCACCAAGUUGAAAUUGGGGAGAGCAUGGCAAUCUUAGUAGCCACAAGAGAAUUUGGGAUCUUGGAUGAAGAAUGUGGCAACGGACUGGACCAAGAGCGGAUUGUUACAUGAGUUAGAACUGAAAAGAGGUGAAUCUGUCAAAUUAGAAGAACUUAUGUUAGAUUUUGCUGAUAUUACUGAGAUUCCUAUGUCUAUCGGUUCUCUGAUGAAGCUGGAGAAAUUGAGCGCCUGCUGUUGUGAGUCACUCAGAGAAAUCCCUAGCUUAAUUUGAGAUUUGCUGAAUAUGCAACAUUUGGACAUUAGUGAUCCUAGGAUUGAAAAGCUUCCUAGUGCUAUUGGAAGGUGUUGAAAAAUCUGCGCACUAUAAGUCUCCUAUUGUGCCUUGUCUGAAAAAGCAAUUCCAAGUGAAAUCGGUGACUUGUCUUCACUUGAGAUUCUCUAUAUCACUUGUGCGCCGCUAUCUACCCUACCAGAAAGCAUUCGGAAUGUUUCUUCUCUCCAAUGCCUUAGCCUAAUGGGCUAUGACAAGCUCCGGUUGCUACCAAAGCUUCCUUCAAGCUUGACAUAUCUGUUGAUCUCUUGUCAGAGUCCUAGGUUGCCACAGCUUUCUAGCCUAAUCCACCCAGAAAAACUCAAUUUUAAGGCAUGCCAUCUAGUUGAAGACAUCCAUGAGAUUUCCUCAAGACCCUUGAAAUUUUGUAUUGAGGAGUGUGAUAAGCUGAUAUUGCUUAAGCUCAACAGAUUCAAGUACUUGGAAGAGUUUUGAUAAAAAAAAAAGUGCAGUUUGAUUGAAAGAUUGGCCCUUUCACAAUUAAUCCAUCUGAAAUGAUUAUGCGCCAAGCAUUGCGAUAACCUAGUUGAAAUUCAGACCCAUGAUGAUUUGGAGUUCUUGGAGGGCAUAUUUAUACAUGACUGCAAUUCCAUUAAAAGGCUUCUCUGUCCAAAAUCAUGGUGUUUGGAGGAAUUACAGGCCAUCAGGAGCAACAAUCUAGUCGAAAAUUAAGGUUUUGACGGUGUGUAGUUCUUAGAAAAAUUGGAUAUUACAAGAUGCAUGACAAUGGAGACUUUGCCAAGUUUGACGGGAUGUGAGAAGUUACAAUCUCUAGUAAUUAAAGACUGAGAGAAACUUACUCAGCUUCAGGGACUUGAAAAGAUGGAUUUAGAUCUUUUGGAUGUUCAAGGUUGCAACUCAUUGGAAAUGCUGCUGAAAUUAUCUAGAACAUGCGUCACUGGAAAUUAUGAAGAGAUCUAUCUCGAUCUCUUUGUUGAAAUAUUAUACUACAGUGAUAAUGAUGUGAUGAAUCUUAUACCUGUAUUACAACAGUGAGACGAGUCAUGUUUCCUUGACAAAGGGUUCUGACUUCCCUAAAUUGCCAGUAUUACCUAAUUGAAGGAGCAAGGGUAGUUGGUCAUAGAAGCUGACAUGAUGCUUCAGCCAAGAUCAAAAUAUAGACCCUAAUGUCAAUAGAAGGCACUGGUUAUCUAGUAAGAUUCUCCAUCCUUGAAUGGCCAGCGUGAGAGAAUGGAGUAACACUUUUCUUGAAGCUAUAUUUUUUAAGAAUGAUUUGCUCUGCACCGGGUCUGGUUGGUCUAUAGGAUGAUCAAGGCUUACUUUGGGACUUAAAUUUGAUGAGCUUUAUCGAUGAUCUUUUGCAUAAUCGGGACAAAUUUUUUGCCCUUUCUGUGAAACAAGUGGGGGCAAGGAGCUCAAGAACUUGCUAAUGAGUCUGCAUCCCAUCUGAUCCUAUUGUUGUCAUGGAAUCGUUUUAUCACAUGAUUAAUCUGAGUCUGGCUAACUUGGCUGAGGAACUUCAAAUUCCAUGCCAGAGACUGAUCAAAAUGAAGAAGAUAUAUUUUGCAAAGGAAGCACCAGCAACAGCUGAGGACCAUCUUUUGUGCCAAUGUUGAAGAGGCUCAUGGACCAACUGGAGUGUGUUUAGGAAGUUUUGAUGAUUGUGAGGAUCCAAAACACUUCAUCUGAUCUCAACAGCACAUGUUUGAAUGAUUUAAAUGUUGUAUUUCCAGUUGAGUCUGCUUUUUGUAUGCACUCGAGGUUCAACCUCUCUGUCAAUCAAAUGUAGCUGGCUGAUUCUUUUG